UUUGUUCCCUAAAUAGGGACUUGUAUGAAUGGCCACACGAGGGCUUUACUGUCUCUUACUUCCAAUCCGUGAAAUUGACCUUCCCGUGAAGAGGCGGGAAUAUAACAAUAAGACGAGAAGACCCUAUGGAGCUUUAAUUAACCGACCCAAAGAGACCCCACUAAUUAACCGACAGGAACAACAAAUCUCUACAUGGGCCGACAAUUUAGGUUGGGGUGACCUCGGAGAAUAAAACAACCUCCGAGUGAUUUAAAUCUAGACUAACCAGUCGAAAGUAUUACAUCACUUAUUGAUCCAAAAACUUGAUCAACGGAACAAGUUACCCUAGGGAUAACAGCGCAAUCCUAUUCUAGAGUCCAUAUCGACAAUAGGG
rnacentral:rRNA from 1 species